rnacentral:misc_RNA from 1 species
UCACAGCAAGGAGGAAGAUCUUUUCAAAAAUCAACACAUACGCGAGCCAAAACAUCAGUUUAUUUCCUGAUGAGAAAUGGAAAUGAAGGGUAACCACUUUCUAUUUUUUCCACGCCGGCGAGCGCCUUGUUGACAUCGAUGACAUCAUUGCCAACGCUGUGUGGGUUUUCCUGAAAUAGACUCUUCCGUUCGCAAAAGGGACCGUCCCUUCUUCGCAUUUCUGUCGAUAAAUAGGCGAAAGUCCAGGUCAGGAGAUCAGAUGUUCCAGACACACGGCAGCUAGAGAAGCGCAGUGAACCAGACGAGGCAGCUGUGUUCCUAGAUAUAUUUGCAUAUCGAAUUAACCACGCAAUAGGCUCUACCUCCUAAGGCUCGACUCGCUGUGUUCUACCAGUUCGAAACACGUCACACACUGAACAAGACAAUGGAGACAUUCGCACCUCAUACACUGCUGUUGAGUUUUGCGUUGCUGGGAUGGAUGGUUCAGUCGGUCAAUCUGUCAGAGAUUGAAGGUAGUGGCGAGGACUGGCCACCCGCACGUGAGCGGUCUCGCCGUCCACGCUCAACAGAACAGUUGAAUAAUACCGUAACAGGUGUUUUACUUAUCCCGUCAAGCACGGAUGUACCGUUGGGGGGUCAGUUUCAGUUCCAUUGUAUGGGUUCGACGGAACCAGACUGCGGGGGUUACGAAGGCUGGCUGUACAAGGUGGUGGACCACGAAACGGGUGUUUUUCAGCCAGUUCAAGUUCAGAGAUACCACACUUGUAGCUGUGGUGGGAGGUGUCUCCUGAACACCACUUUCGUCAUGACGGCUGCUACUGUGGAGGCCGCCGGUACGUACGGGUGCGUGAUGCUGCGAGACGGUCCGCCUACCGAGACAACGGUUGCCAGGGGUUUUGGAAUUGGUUAUCAGCCCCAUGAGGCUAAUGUCACCGUUUGCUUAGAACCAGAUUUGGCGCUCCUGAGCAAUACCCAAGACAGUGACCUCAUCAUCAGGGUCGAAGAAAAAUGUAAGUUCCUGGGCGAGGUGAGCUGGAUCAUCAACGGCCACAGGGUUGGCCGCAGGUCGACAGAGUCCUCGGUGGCCGAUCCUUCGCUGCCUGCCUUCCAACGAGACGAUGACACGCUUUUGAUACAAUGUGAUCAGGGAAACCCCAAGAACAGCUGGUGCACUGUCAAGGCAGAAUUCAAGUACAUAACAAAUUCGCGUCGUCUGGAGGUUGCCACAGGAACGCUGAACGUAUCCGAUUGCUGCCUUGAGAACCCAUCGACCGAAGCCGCGUUCACCGACCCCGUUACGACACAGGAUCUCACGGUUUGCGAGCGCAAGUCUGUUAUUUUGUUGUGAGCAAUGUGAAUUGAACUAAAACACAAAGGAAGAUAAAACGGACUUCACGUCGACAAAAUGACGCAGGGAGUUUACAGCCGAUUAUGUUUACGGAUUUGAGAUGGAUGUUGAGGGGUCGGUGCUGGAAAGCUUUGGAAUGAUCUCCGCCACUAUAAUCGAAUCGAGAACGCAGUCAUCUCCUGGACAGUAGCAGAGCUUGCCACAAGAGAAACUUCUGAUGUUUACAGGUCCAAAAGAAGGUACACGGGAACAGAAGUGUGGACACUGGACCAGAAUGAAUCGGGAUAUCCCGUCACUCAGGGACCGAUUGAAGAGGAACCCAGCAGGAAAGAGAAAUGGGCGUUGAAGAAAGAAGUCCUGGAGCUGAAGAAGAAGG